UACGUAGGGGGCAAGCGUUGUCCGGAAUCAUUGGGCGUAAAGAGCGUGUAGGCGGCCAGAUAAGUCCGCUGUGAAAACUCGAGGCUCAACUUCGAGCUGUCGGUGGAAACUAUUUGGCUAGAGUCCGGAAGAGGAGAGUGGAAUUCCUGGUGUAGCGGUGAAAUGCGCAGAUAUCAGGAAGAACACCCGUGGCGAAGGCGGCUCUCUGGUACGGAACUGACGCUGAGGAGCGAAAGCCAGGGGAGCAAACGGG
rnacentral:rRNA from 1 species